rnacentral:rRNA from 1 species
UACGUAGGGCGCAAGCGUUGUCCGGAAUUAUUGGGCGUAAAGAGCUCGUAGGCGGUUUGUCGCGUCUGCUGUGAAAACCUAAGGCUCAACCUUGGGCUUGCAGUGGGUACGGGCAGACUAGAGUGCGGUAGGGGUGACUGGAAUUCCUGGUGUAGCGGUGGAAUGCGCAGAUAUCAGGAGGAACACCGAUGGCGAAGGCAGGUCACUGGGCCGCAACUGACGCUGGAGGAAGCGAAAGCAUGGGAGCGAACAGG